rnacentral:lncRNA from 1 species
AUCCCAAUAUGUAGAAUUCAGAAAGUGUCCUUCCAGGGAUGGGGUAGUACAGGACCCAGCCUGAGUUCAUAUAUUCCAAAAUGCCCAUCUUCAUUGGGUUCUAUCUUCCUGGGGCCAGCCCCCACUUCAGGCCAAAUCCAUUUUAUGAGAAAUUGAAGAUAAAGGAGAAAGAGGUCAUGUCAUUGCCGCACAAUUUAUACACAAACAACACUGAACAUCGUGAGAAAUUUCCGGAGCUCAAGAAGGAGAAUCACUUCUAUCACAACCUGCACAGCUGGCUCCUGAUGGACCAGGCAUGUAUGAAGAAGAAGUUGGUCACAUUGAAGCAGGAGUGUAAGGAGUUAUAGCGAUAUUUGUUUGAGUUGAACCCGAAUGAUGAAGACGAAGAGGAGAAGACCAGCAACCUCCAGACCCAGCAAAAUUUGGUAGGAACAAGCAGCUGAGUCAGAUUAACAAUGUCUGAUACCAUUUGCCUAUUGGAUACAUCUUUGCUUUCCCCCACCAUCUUUCUAAUCUCCCCACACCCAAUCAGUCACCCACCUCAUGUGAUGUAGUUAUUCAUUGCUCUGUCUAUGCACAAGUAUUCUGGGAUGUUAACCACUUUUCAGAAACUGAAUUAUGGGCAAGUAUACUUUUCUGCCCUUUUUGAAACUGCAGUCCAGAAAUGGUGACAGAGGAAUCACAUAUCACAUCACUGCAUCUCCCUGUCACAGAUUGGAUGCUAUGAAGAGUUUUGAUUAAGGUCUUGGUCCUGUGACAAAAGUCAUACACGGGUCAUGUAAUGGUUGGAAGCACCUUGCAUGGAUAAGAACCAAGUGCAAAUGGCAAAUGAGUCUUGGUCAUUGGCUUUGAUCUGGGUAUCAUGUGGCCUUCUCCUUUCUUCCUGCAACCCAAGUAGGUCUCCUCCCAUUUCCCCGUUCUUGGUUUGCACUGGUAGAGUCUGAGGAGCAGCUUGUUAUCCCACAUUACUGUGAGGGUUGCUGGUGAUUUUCCCCAGCCUGCAGAGAUAUCAGCAAUGAUUUCAGUGAAAAGAUCAGUGCUGUCUGUCCAAUGCAGCUGAGGGGACAGAAGGCAGCAACUUCACAGCUGGUAUGCGUGUCCCCACCAAAUCAGUGUCUUAAUAGCUACCUUCUUCUCCCAGGUCUCAGAAACUGCAGGAGUGAUGGAAUAGGACGUAUCCCGGGAAGACAGGCCCGUGAAGAAUGAGUUUCUUUCUCAGAAGUUCCCUGCUGAAGACAAUCCUCAACAGUCAAAGACUUUUUUGGGGGAACAUUCUUCUUCUCAGUUAAUUUCCUCAACGUAUAGAGACUCUAAAUUUAUGUAUCCGAAUGCCGGCCUUCUGAUUGAGGUCUUUCUCCUUUCUCAUACCGACAACACCAUUUGAGAGACAACUGAGGGGACUGCCUUGACAUCUCGUGUCCUAGAGGAGAAACAGCACUACAAUUGUGUUUCUAAAUGUUCAUUAAGAAAAUGCUGUUAAGAAAUACUUUUGGUUAUGAUUUUCAUUGAAGUUUUGUUUUUGUUGUUUCAUAGUUAUAUAUUCUUGUUACUGUUUUUCAUUAUUGAUACCAUUUUAGUUGUUCAUUUUAUGCCUGUUUUUUGUAAAUUGUACUCCUUAUGAAUAAAAAUUGAUUUGUAACUCUUGACUCUUAAGACCAUCUUCAUUAUUCAAGGGUCCUUUCCCCUCUUGUAGACUUAGAACUGACAGCUCGAUAUGGAUCUUUGCAUGGUCCAGUGAAUUCAAAGCCACCAAGGGGUACACAGAGUGAUAGUGUCUUUUGUGUGGAUAAUGUGACUUCUUUUAUGGACACACACUUUAUGAUGUAAUCACUGCCAUACUGUAUCCAUGCUGUCAUGUAUUCUGCUCAUCCUAGUCUAUAUCAGUCUACAACACACAUUCCUUAUUGACUGUGUGCACCAGAUA